AUUGAACGCUGGCGGCAGGCCUAACACAUGCAAGUCGAACGAGUGGCGGACGGGUGAGUAAUGUCUGGGAAACUGCCUGCUGGAGGGGGAUAACUACUGGAAACGGUAGCUAAUACCGCAUACAAUCAGAUGUGCCCAGAUGGGAUUAGCUAGUUGGUGGGGUAACGGCUCACCAAGGCGACGAUCCCUAGCUGGUCUGAGAGGAUGACCCGCCACACUGGAAUGGAGCAACGGUCCAGACUCCUACGGGAGGCAGCAGUGGGGAAUAGUGGACAAUGGGCGAAAGCAUGAUGCCGCCAUGCCGCGUGGUUGAAGAAGGCCUUCGGGUUGUAAAGUAUUUUCAGCGGGGAGGCGUUACCCGCAGAAGAAGCACCGGCUAACUCCGUGCCAGCAGCCGCGGUAAUAC
rnacentral:rRNA from 1 species